CCUGUUAGUGCUUUGGAAACAAUGUUGAUUGACUUUUUCUUAGUUUGAGUCAGUGAUGUUGCCUUUGGGCUUUUUUUACUCCUAUUCUUUGUUAUGAUAAUAGAUAUUUAACCAAUUUUAUAAGUGGCUUCUAAACAAGUCCCUCAUUCAGUCCUCUCUGAUUUGAUUAUAGCAUCUAACUCUUCCUAUUUAUAGAAAUGCUGGAGCAACAACUAGCCUAAGCAUAUUCUUUGUUAAGCAUAUUCUUUGCUAGGAAGGAAUAGUCACUUGUAGGUGUCCUUUUUGACAACAAUACUUUCAAGAGUUAGUAUUCUUUUAGUUCCAAAAGUUAUAAACCAACUCCAACUUGAUUUAGGCAAGAAGGAAAACUUAUUGGCUAACAAAGUGAAAAGUCCUGUCGUUAGGCAUGGAUGGAUCUAGGCUAAAACUGUAUCAGUAGGACUUGUUUUUUCUUGCCCUCUUGGUUUUGUUCUCUGAUACAUUGGCCUUAAUUUCAGAAUUGCUCUUUUUACCUAAUGAUUUUAGCAUCCCUAGGUUUAUAUUAUCCUAUGUUUGCAAUCUCAGUAUAAAACAAGCUUUCCACUUCUAAUAGUAGCAACAGAAGUCCCCAAAUUGAACAUCUUUGGGCAGACUUGGAUUAGAUGCUUUUCUAAACCAAUUACCUGGUGUUUCAUAGGAUAGAAUCAGCUUCAUCCNAAUUGCCUCUUUUGCACAGCUUAAUAAAUAUCCCUUCUAAAAAUCAUUUCAGAACCUUGCUUUGCAUUUGCCAUCCAGUAACACAGCAGUUCUGUCCUUAGUUCAAAUGUAAUCAUAUGAUCCCUUAUGUGUAUUUCUUAGGGUUCUCAGUUUAUCCUACCACCAUUAUUAAUGGAUUCUUGCAUGUAUUCCCAGAAAAUUAUCAUGCCUAUAUAAAGAGAUGUGUUCAGCACACACAUAAAACACACAUACGUAUGUACACACACACACCCCUCCAGGACACACAGCAGCAUGAAGUACUCUCCAGCCAGUCAUAGUGGGUUAUGAUUUACAGAGGCCCACACUUUCCUAGUUGUUAAAUAUUUUGAAUGUCAUGGCCAUGUAUAGCCUCUUUGAAAACAUAAGCAGCUGAAAGAAUUAAAAAUAACUAUCUGAGAUGAUCGAGAGUAAUAGCUGGGUAAAGGUAAAAAAAGAGACUAUUGUAUAAUUAUUUUAAUAGUACUUGUUUUUCAAUUAUGUGUAUGCAUUAAUUUUGACAUAAAAAUAAUUUGGAAAAUAACCAAAUUUGAAUAUAACACAUGAUUGCUGAUAAAACAAAAUUAUAUUAUACUUAACUCUUCUGUUAACUGUCUUUUGUUACUCCACUACAGAGUUUGGAUUUUUUUCUUUUUUCUUUCUUUCUUUCUUUUUAAAUUAUGAUGGACCUUUUUGUUUUAUUUAUCUAUUUUUAUGUGGUGCUGAGAAUUGAAUCCAGUGCCUCACACAUGCUAGGCAAGUACUCUACUGAGCCACAACCCCAGCCCGAGUUUAGAUUUUUUUUGUACCAUUUUUUGUAGACUAACUUGAUCCUUAUAAUAACUGCAGAAUAUUCCACUUAGUAGAUGUACCACUAUUCAUCUUUUAUUAAUAGACAUCCAGGUUGUUACCAGCAUUUGGGAUUAUAAGAAAUUUGAUCAUGGAUGCCCAAGUAGAUAUUGUUUUAUGUAGUUAGAUAGGAAUACAGGUAAAAUAGAUUCCUACUAGAAUUGCUGGAUCAAAGGGAGAAUCUGGAAUUUAUUAAUUUUAAGUUAAAAUUUGUUUCUGUUUCACCUUAUUUUUUAUUUUGAAGAAUUUCAAACCUACAGAAAAUUAUAAGAAUGAGAAACAUACUCUAAACAUAUAUUUGCCAAUUUUUAAGAUUAACUUGAAUUCUUUCCUCUUGCUCUCUAAUUAUAUUACUAUUCUUCUCCUUAUCCUCCUUAUUCUUUGCCAUUUAGAGUAAGUAAAAGAAGUCAUAACCCUUCACCCCUAAAAUGUAAUAAGCAUCUAUUGUCUAAGAACAAGGGUAUUCUCUUGCCUAAUCACAGAAUGAUUAUAAAAUUUUAGAAAUCUAAUAUUAAAUAUAUAAUUAUAUAAUUUGUAGUAUAUUCAACUUUGGUCAUUCUCCUCAAUAAUGUCUUUUAUAGUGACUUUUUUGUGUAGCUAAGGAUCCAAUCCAGGUUUGUGCAUUACAGUUUACUGAACUGAUGUUUUGAUCUCCUUUAAACAGCUCCUAGGUGCUCAAUACGUCAUAUCAUUUUCUGCUACCUCAUAAACCUUAACCAAUCAUUUUAGCAUCUAUUAAAAAAUUCAUGAAUCUGUUACUGCUAUGGCAGAAGGUAAGCUCUUAAUAUAUUCAAAGAAUAUCAUAUAUGUAUGCACAUGUAUGUGCUAUGUGAUUUACUUAUUUUGGAUCUAAUCUUACAAUAGCUGUAAAAUGAUCUCCAUUAUCUAAGUGAAAAUGUAUCCUCCUGAAUUUAAAUCACUAUUCCAGGAUUAUUUAGUUCUGUAAAUUAUAGAGCUGUGAAUUGAACCCAUAGCACUAUAUCAUCCUGCCUCUCUGGUAGGCAUUGAGAUAUAUAUAUAUAUAUAUAUAUAUAUAUAUAUAUAUAUAUAUAUAUAUAUAUAUAUAUAUAUAUAUAUAUAUGACCCUGUUAGUGCUUUGGAAACAAUGUUGAUUGACUUUUUCUUAGUUUGAGUCAGUGAUGUUGCCUUUGGGCUUUUUUUACUCCUAUUCUUUGUUAUGAUAAUAGAUAUUUAACCAAUUUUAUAAGUGGCUUCUAAACAAGUCCCUCAUUCAGUCCUCUCUGAUUUGAUUAUAGCAUCUAACUCUUCCUAUUUAUAGAAAUGCUGGAGCAACAACUAGCCUAAGCAUAUUCUUUGUUAAGCAUAUUCUUUGCUAGGAAGGAAUAGUCACUUGUAGGUGUCCUUUUUGACAACAAUACUUUCAAGAGUUAGUAUUCUUUUAGUUCCAAAAGUUAUAAACCAACUCCAACUUGAUUUAGGCAAGAAGGAAAACUUAUUGGCUAACAAAGUGAAAAGUCCUGUCGUUAGGCAUGGAUGGAUCUAGGCUAAAACUGUAUCAGUAGGACUUGUUUUUUCUUGCCCUCUUGGUUUUGUUCUCUGAUACAUUGGCCUUAAUUUCAGAAUUGCUCUUUUUACCUAAUGAUUUUAGCAUCCCUAGGUUUAUAUUAUCCUAUGUUUGCAAUCUCAGUAUAAAACAAGCUUUCCACUUCUAAUAGUAGCAACAGAAGUCCCCAAAUUGAACAUCUUUGGGCAGACUUGGAUUAGAUGCUUUUCUAAACCAAUUACCUGGUGUUUCAUAGGAUAGAAUCAGCUUCAUCCAACAAUAUGGAUUGGGAGUGGGGGGGGGAGUGAUUCCCUAAGGCAAAGUGUGAAUUGCUAUUUCCAAAGUGAGAAUGGGUGCUGAGAAUGCAGAAACAAGUUAACAAUGCCUUUGAUAUUUGUUAACCAGGGGACCACAAAUGAUAUGGUCUUUUUUAAUUCUCAUAUAACCCUUGCCUAAGAGGUCCUAAGUUGCAUACAUUUAUCACUGCUUAAUUUCCAAAAAAAGAAUGAUGGGGCUAAGAAUUGUGAACAUGUUGGAAGUAAGAAAAAAAAACACAAGAAAUUAUUGUAGAGAAAUUAAGCAUUAAAAAUAUUUUGACACAUCCAUGUCUCAUGGAAGAGCUUUCAACAUUUUGUCAGUGGUUCAUUUGCAGGUUAUUGACACAUUCUCACAUUUACUCUUGUUUCAUCUUUGAUCUCCUGAUUAACGAGGUAGUGAUGCAAACUUGUUUGAGCCUUUCUCAAUAUUUUCAGUUAUUCUGCUGUUUUACAAAGGAUAUGAGCUGCCAAACACAUAAAGAAGAACUCUCAGAACCGGUAGGUCAAAUAAUCUGUUCUCCAAGUACAUUUGGAUUCUAUUUCUUAUAAUAUAGAAUUUUAUAUUGAGGUAUUGGUGAAUAUAAUACUUGAAAGAAAAUAAUGUUUAAGCAACUAAAAAAAACUGGGUCAUUCAAAUGUGGAGAAGUCACUUGCAUAAUUUUAACAGCUUGAUUCAAGUUAACAAUGCCUUUGAUAUUUGCUAACCACAGGAACCAUGAAUGAUAUGGUCCUCUUAAUUCUCAUAUGACACUUUCCCAAGAGGUCCCAAGUAGCAUACAUUUAUCAUUGUUUAAUUUCCUGGUUUUAAAUGGAUUAUAUUUGGCUUCAUUUGAGUAUCAACCUAGGUACAUGUAUGACUGCACAUACCUUGUGA
rnacentral:lncRNA from 1 species